ensembl:lncRNA H19 H19 imprinted maternally expressed transcript
UGUUCUGAGGUGAUCAUGACUGGGACCCAAGGACUCAAGCGCAUGCUCCAGAGGGAAUCGUUUCCCACAAGGCCUUUGGCAGGAACAGGGAUCCUGGGAGCCUGCCAAGCAGAGCGCACAGUGUUCCUGGAGUCUCGCUGCCCAGAUGCCACGGAAUCAGUUGAAGCCAGGUCUCCAGCUGGGGUGGACGUGCCCACCAGCUGCCGAAGGCCAAGACGCCAGGUCCGGUGGACGUGACAAGCAGGACAUGACAUGGUCCGGUGUGACGGCGAGGACAGAGGAGGCGCGUCCGGCCUUCCUGAACACCUUAGGCUGGUGGGGCUGCGGCAAGAAGCGGGUCUGUUUCUUUACUUCCUCCACGGAGUCGGCACACUAUGGCUGCCCUCUGGGCUCCCAGAACCCACAACAUGAAAGAAAUGGUGCUACCCAGCUCAAGCCUGGGCCUUUGAAUCCGGACACAAAACCCUCUAGCUUGGAAAUGAAUAUGCUGCACUUUACAACCACUGCACUACCUGACUCAGGAAUCGGCUCUGGAAGGUGAGCACCAGCGCUCCUUCCGGAAGCCUCCAGGCCCCCGAGCACCCUGCCCCCAUCCCACCCACGUGUCGCUAUCUCUAGGUGAAGCUAGAGGAACCAGACCUCAUCAGCCCAACAUCAAAGACACCAUCGGAACAGCAGCGCCCGCAGCACCCACCCCGCACCGGCGACUCCAUCUUCAUGGCCACCCCCUGCGGCGGACGGUUGACCACCAGCCACCACAUCAUCCCAGAGCUGAGCUCCUCCAGCGGGAUGACGCCGUCCCCACCACCUCCCUCUUCUUCUUUUUCAUCCUUCUGUCUCUUUGUUUCUGAGCUUUCCUGUCUUUCCUUUUUUCUGAGAGAUUCAAAGCCUCCACGACUCUGUUUCCCCCGUCCCUUCUGAAUUUAAUUUGCACUAAGUCAUUUGCACUGGUUGGAGUUGUGGAGACGGCCUUGAGUCUCAGUACGAGUGUGCGUGAGUGUGAGCCACCUUGGCAAGUGCCUGUGCAGGGCCCGGCCGCCCUCCAUCUGGGCCGGGUGACUGGGCGCCGGCUGUGUGCCCGAGGCCUCACCCUGCCCUCGCCUAGUCUGGAAGCUCCGACCGACAUCACGGAGCAGCCUUCAAGCAUUCCAUUACGCCCCAUCUCGCUCUGUGCCCCUCCCCACCAGGGCUUCAGCAGGAGCCCUGGACUCAUCAUCAAUAAACACUGUUACAGCAA